rnacentral:rRNA from 1 species
UACAGAGGUGGCAAGCGUUGUUCGGAUUUAUUGGGCGUAAAGGGUCCGUAGGCGGCCCGGAAAGUCGGAUGUGAAAGCCCACAGCUCAACUGUGGAACUGCAUUCGAAACUUCCAGGCUAGAGUGUGAGAGGGGUGAAGGGAAUUCCCGGUGUAAGGGUGAAAUCUGCAGAGAUCGGGAGGAACACCUGUCGCGAAGGCGCUUCACUGGCUCACUACUGACGCUCAGGGACGAAAGCUAGGGGAGCAAACGGG